rnacentral:rRNA from 1 species
UACGUAGGGGGCGAGCGUUGUCCGGAUUUAUUGGGCGUAAAGAGCGUGUAGGCGGCCAGGUAGGUCCGUUGUGAAAACUCGAGGCUCAACCUCGAGACGUCGAUGGAAACCAUCUGGCUAGAGUCCGGAAGAGGAGAGUGGAAUUCCUGGUGUAGCGGUGAGAUGCGCAGAUAUCAGGAAGAACACCUAUGGCGAAGGCAGCUCUCUGGGACGGUACUGACGCUGAGACGCGAAAGCGUGGGGAGCGAACAGG